GACGAACGCUGGCGGCGGGCGGAACACAGGCAAGGCGAACGGAAAGGAGCGGCGGGGGGGGGGGGCGAGAGGGGCGAACGGGGGAGGAACAAGGGAGGAAACGGAACGGGACGGCGGGAGAACGACAGGAAACUGGGGCGAAGACCGGAUAGGAGCUCCUGCUGCAUGGUGGGGGUUGGAAAGUUUCGGCGGUUGGGGAUGGACUCGCGGCUUAGCAGCUUGUUGGUGGGGUAGUGGCUUACCAAGGCUUGGACGGGUAGCCGGCCUGAGAGGGUGCCCGGCCCCCUUGGGACUGGGCUCCGGACCAGACUCCUACGGGAGGCAGCAGUGGGGAAUAUUGCACAAUGGGCGGAAGCCUGAUGCAGCGACGCCGCGUGCGGGAUGCCGGCCUUCCGGUUGUCAACCGCUUUCGCCUGUGACGAAGCGUGAGUGACGGUAAUGGGUAAAGAAGCACCGGCUAACUACGUG
rnacentral:rRNA from 1 species